rnacentral:lncRNA from 1 species
CAAAAAGAAGGGUAUAAAGGCUAUUCCAGGCAGUGUGUGUGCUAUGUGUCAAGGAAUGGAUGAGGAAUACAUUUAUUAUUUGGGGAAAGCUGACUUUGGGACCUGUAAUUUACAGGCUGUCAUGGAAACAAGUUGCACAUAAGAUCAAAGGAUUGUAUCUGAAGCUUACAAAAUUUGCCUGACGUAGGUGUCAGAAACAAGUGCUAAAAUGGAAAAUGUGGAAUCACUAGCCUUCAAUGAUAACAUUCCGAAUAAUUCAUACUAACAUGCAAGGAAGCUCCAUUCCCUAGCUCUCCCACCACUUGGUAUGUGUUGAAAAGGUGCUGUG